rnacentral:rRNA from 1 species
GAGGAAAAGGAACCAACAGGGAUUGCCUCAGUAGCGGCGAGUGAAGCGGCAAGAGCUCAGAUUUGAAAUCGUGCUUUGCGGCACGAGUUGUAGAUUGCAGGUUGGAGUCUGUGUGGAAGGCGGUGUCCAAGUCCCUUGGAACAGGGCGCCCAGGAGGGUGAGAGCCCCGUGGGAUGCCGGCGGAAGCAGUGAGGCCCUUCUGACGAGUCGAGUUGUUUGGGAAUGCAGCUCCAAGCGGGUGGUAAAUUCCAUCUAAGGCUAAAUACUGGCGAGAGACCGAUAGCGAACAAGUACUGUGAAGGAAAGAUGAAAAGCACUUUGAAAAGAGAGUGAAACAGCACGUGAAAUUGUUGAAAGGGAAGGGUAUUGCGCCCGACAUGGGGAUUGCGCACCGCUGCCUCUCGUGGGCGGCGCUCUGGGCUUUCCCUGGGCCAGCAUCGGUUCUUGCUGCAGGAGAAGGGGUUCUGGAACGUGGCUCUUCGGAGUGUUAUAGCCAGGGCCAGAUGCUGCGUGCGGGGACCGAGGACUGCGGCCGUGUAGGUCACGGAUGCUGGCAGAACGGCGCAACACCGCCCGUCU